rnacentral:rRNA from 1 species
AAACCGGGGCUAAUACGGGAUACGAGCCUUGAUCGCAUGAUCCAGGCUGGAAAGUUUUUCGGUUGAAGAUGACCUCGCGGCCUAUCAGCUUGUUGGUGAGGUAAUGGCUCACCAAGGCGACGACGGGUAGCCGGCCUGAUAGGGCGACCGGCCACUCUGGGACUGAAACACGGCCCACACUCCUACGGGAGGCAGCAAUGGGGAAUAUUGGGCAAUGGAGGAAACUCUGACCCAGCGACGCCGCGUGCGGGAUGAAGGCCUUCGGGUUGUAAACCGCUUUCAGUAGGGAAGAAGCGAAAGUGACGGUACCUACAGAAGAAGCACCGGCUAACUAUGUGCCAGCAGCCGCGGUAAUACAUAGGGUGCAUGCGUUGUCCGGAAUUAUUGGGCGUAAAGAGCUCGUAGGUGGUUUGAUACUUCGGGUGUGAAAUUCAGGGGCUCAACCCCUGACCUGCAUUCGAUACGGUCAAGCUAGAGUUUGGUAGGGGAGACUGGAAUUCCUGGUGUAGCGGUGGAAUGCGCAGAUAUCAUGAGGAACACC